GAUGAAGAACGUAGCGAAAUGCGAUAAGUAGUGUGAAUUGCAGAAGUACCGUGAAUCAUCGAAUCUUUGAACGCAAAUUGCACUCUCUGGUAUUCCGGGGAGUAUGCCUGUUUGAGGGUCGCUUAACAAACCAUCGAUUUCGUUGCUUUUUUUUUAAAAAGUGAUGUUUAUCGGAUUUGAGCCGUCUUUUUUUUUUUAUAUUUAAGUGGCUUAAAAUUGAUUUUUUUGGUACGAUCGAAGCGUAUUUUUAUGAUCAAUUUUUGGUUAAAGAAACGCACACGUACCGUUAUUUAUAUGAUGUAAUACGUUUGACUAUUGGAUUUAGUUCAUUCGUAUACGAUAUUUUUCAAUAUUUGACCUCAAAUCAGGUAAGAACACCCGCUGAACUUAAGCAUAUCAAUAAGCGGAGGA
rnacentral:misc_RNA from 1 species